GGAAACUGCCUGAUGGAGGGGGAUAACUACUGGAAACGGUGGCUAAUACCGCAUAACGUCGCAAGACCAAAGAGGGGGACCUUCGGGCCUCUUGCCAUCAGAUGUGCCCAGAUGGGAUUAGCUUGUUGGGGAGGUAACGGCUCACCAAAGCGACGAUCCCUAGCUGGUCUGAGAAGAUGACCAGCCACACUGGAACUGAGACACGGUCCAGACUCCUACGGGAGGCAGCAGUGGGGAAUAUUGCACAAUGGGCGCAAGCCUGAUGCAGCCAUGCCGCGUGUAUGAAGAAGGCCUUCGGGUUGUAAAGUACUUUCAGCGGGGAGGAAGGUGUUGUGGUUAAU
rnacentral:rRNA from 1 species